UAGGGAAUCUUCCACAAUGGACGGCAAGUCUGAUGGUGCAACGCCGCGUGAGUGAAGAAGGUCUUCGGAUCGUAAAACUCUGUUGUUAGAGAAGAACACGAGUGAGAGUAACUGUUCAUUCGAUGACGGUAUCUAACCAGCAAGUCACGGCUAACUACGUGCCAC
rnacentral:rRNA from 1 species